rnacentral:rRNA from 1 species
CACGUAGGCACCAAGCGUUGUCCGGAAUUAUUGGGCGUAAAGGGCUCGUAGGCGGUUUGUCGCGUCGGGCGUGAAAUCCACUGGCUUAACUGGUGGCUUGCUUUCGAUACGGGCAGACUGGAGGUAUGCAGGGGAGAACGGAAUUCCUGGUGUAGCGGUGAAAUGCGCAGAUAUCAGGAGGAACACCGGUGGCGAAGGCGGUGCUCUGGGCAUGUCCUGACGCUGAGGAGCGAAAGUGUGGGGAGCGAACAGG